rnacentral:rRNA from 1 species
GAUCCUGGCUCAGGACGAACGCUGGCGGCGUGCCUAAUACAUGCAAGUAGAACGCUGAAGGGAGGAGCUUGCUCUUUCCGGAUGAGUUGCGAACGGGUGAGUAACGCGUAGGUAACCUGCCUGGUAGUGGGGGAUAACUAUUGGAAACGAUAGCUAAUACCGCAUAACAGUAGAUAUCGCAUGAUAGCUGCUUGAAAGGUGCAAUUGCACCACUACCAGAUGG